rnacentral:piRNA from 1 species
UACCAACUGAGUUGCAUUCGUAGUGAAAUU